rnacentral:rRNA from 1 species
CCUUCGGGUGGCAGCAGUGGGGAAUAUUGCACAAUGGGGGAAACCCUGAUGCAGCGACGCCGCGUGAGUGAAGAAGUAUUUCGGUAUGUAAAGCUCUAUCAGCAGGGAAGAAAUAAAGUCCUUCGGACUUUGCACGGUACCUGACUAAGAAGCCCCGGCUAACUACGUGCCAGCAGCCGCGGUAAUACGUAGGGGGCAAGCGUUAUCCGGAUUUACUGGGUGUAAAGGGAGCGUCGACGGCAGCGCAAGUCUGGAGUGAAAUACCAUGGCUUAACCAUGGAACUGCUUUGGAAACUGUGCAGCUGGAGUGCAGGAGAGGUAAGCGGAAUUCCUAGUGUAGCGGGGAAAUGCGUAGAUAUUAGGAGGAACACCAGUGGCGAAGGCGGCUUACUGGACUGUAACUGACGUUGAGGCUCGAAAGCGUGGGGAGCAAACAGGAUUAGAUACCCUGGUAGUC